rnacentral:tRNA from 1 species
GACUCUAUAGUUCAACUGGAUAGAAUAUCAGAUUUCGGCUCUGAGGGUUGGGGGUUCGAAUCCUCCUAGGGUCA